GAUGAGCAUGCGUCCCAUUAGCUAGUUGGUAAGGUAACGGCUUACCAAGGCGACGAUGGGUAGGGGUCCUGAGAGGGAGAUCCCCCACACUGGUACUGAGACACGGACCAGACUCCUACGGGAGGCAGCAGUGAGGAAUAUUGGUCAAUGGGCGCAAGCCUGAACCAGCCAUGCCGCGUGCAGGAUGACGGUCCUAUGGAUUGUAAACUGCUUUUGUACGGGAAGAAACAGCGAUUCGUGAAUCGCCUUGACGGUACCGUAAGAAUAAGGAUCGGCUAACUCCGUGCCAGCAGCCGCGGUAAUACGGAGGAUCCAAGCGUUAUCCGGAAUCAUUGGGUUUAAAGGGUCCGUAGGCGGUUUGGUAAGUCAGUGGUGAAAGCCCAUCGCUCAACGGUGGAACGGCCAUUGAUACUGCCAGACUUGAAUUAUUAGGAAGUAACUAGAAUAUGUAGUGUAGCGGUGAAAUGCUUAGAGAUUACAUGGAAUACCAAUUGCGAAGGCAGGUUACUACUAAUGGAUUGACGCUGAUGGACGAAAGCGUGGGUAGC
rnacentral:rRNA from 1 species